CAAUAGCGUAUAUUUAAGUUGUUGCAGUUAAAAAGCUCGUAGUCGGAUUUUGGCUGAGAACGAACGGUCCGCCGUUAGGUGUGCACUGUUUGGUCUCAGCUUCCUGGUGAGGAGGUGUGCUUCGCGGCCACUUAGUCACCGUGGUUACUUUGAAAAAAUUAGAGUGUUCAAAGCGGGCUUACGCUUGAAUAUAUUAGCAUGGAAUAACACCAUAGGACUCCUGUCCUAUUUCGUUGGUCUCGGGACGGGAGUAAUGAUUAAGAGGAACAGUUGGGGGCAUUCGUAUUUCAUUGUCAGAGGUGAAAUUCUUGGAUUUAUGAAAGACGAACUUCUGCGAAAGCAUUUGCCAAGGAUGUUUNCAUUG
rnacentral:rRNA from 1 species